UUGCGCUUCUCUUCGCGCUUCCGGUUUUAUAGCCAAUGGGAGCAUGCGCGUUGGGUGCCGGCGCGGCGGCACGGGUGGCAUGGCGCGCGCGGCGGUGACGUUGCAGCUGGGGCACUACGCGGGCUGCGUGGGCGCCCACUGGUGGGGGCUGCAGGACGCCGACGGAGAUGCCGAGCUGCGCGGCGCCGUGCUGCUGCGGGAGGCGGCCGGGGGGGAGUCCCCCGCGCCGCGCCUCGUCGCGCUGGAGCUCAAAGGCGGCCUGGGCGCGCUGAGGCCCGGCUGGCGGCGCAGUGCAGGCCCUGACGCGACGGCUGCGGCCUGGCGCGGGGACGUGGCCACCUACGAGGCCGGCGCGGUGCGGGACGGCAAGCAGCGGAGGGGCGACGCUUCCUCGGUGGGAGAGGGCACCUCAAGUGCUGCUGUGAGAGAUGCACUUCCUCACCUUUCACGGCUGACUGCUUACCAAGAAAUUUACUCAGGUGGCAGCACGCAGGUUUGGUCCGAUUACCUCAACGUGCACUUGCAUCCCAAGAGCAUCUUUGUGAUACAGCAGUACAACCAUGAUGGGGAGUCUGGUUGUCUAGAAGCUUUUGGGCAAGGUGAAAGUCUGCUGCAGGAUCCUGUAUGUCUAGAGGAGUUGGAAGAUCGGUUGCACUUUUUUGUGGAGGAGUGUGAUUAUUUGCAGGGAUUUCAAGUCCUGUGUGACCUACACAAUGGAUUUUCUGGAGUUGGCGCCAAGGUGACAGAACUGCUCCAUGAUGAAUACUCUGGAAAGGGAAUCUUGACCUGGGGGUUGACACCAGUCAGUCAUAAAACAGGAGAGUCUCAAAAGGAUUUUUACAGACUGAUGAACACAGCCCUAGGAAUCGUCCAUCUCUCCAGUCAGAGCUCACUAUUUUGCCCAUUGUCACUCAGUGGGAGUCUAGGAAUCAAACCAGGACCUCCCAUUACAUUUCCCUAUAUAAAUUAUGAUGCGUCACUUAACUACCACAGCAGUGCAAUCCUGGCAGCAGUACUUGAUACUCUUACUGUUCCUUAUCGACUCCGUACCUCGCAGUGCUCAAUGACACGCUUUGCUGAAACACUUAACUUCUCCGGGCGAAAGGUUGUGGCUGCAUUGGCUGCUGUACCCUUUCCUAUCAUACAUGGCCACUCGCUCCUAGAUACUUUAUGCACCCACAAGCAAGACAUGCCCUGGAAACUUCUGUCUUCAUACAGAGAGCAAAAGGUCAGCCACUGUUUCGCUCAGUCUGUUGUGCUAAGAGGAAUUUGCAAAGAAAGUCAUAACAGCAACUGUCCAGCAGAGCAGCCUGCUUCUGCACUCCAGGCUGGUGAGACACUGGAGCAGAUUCUGCAGCAUUACUUACAUACUUUGUCUCCUGGGACCUUCAGCAUAUCUCAUGUGCUUGAGCAGCCAUGCCGUACCUUACCUCCGUACCCCCAGUUUUUUUCCUCUCUUCUCACCAGAGAAGGCUUCCUUUUGGACAAACCUCUCAGUUAUUCCUCAACAGGUAGUAAGAAUGACUCUAUCAGCCUCCCUGCAAGCAACAGAAUGGUUAUUAAAGCAUCAGAGAAAACUACCACCAGCCUCACAGGUCUGUUUCAGAGAAAAGAAAAGAAAAAGGUGUUUCCUCCCCAGCCUGAAGUAUUACAACAAUUAUACUGCCACAAGCAGUACAGUGUUUCUCAAAGAACAAGAUGGCUGCUGUGAUGGACUUUGUUUAGAGGAAACAAGGCAAGACUAUUCAAGGAAAGAGGCAGAAGACAUCAGAAAAUGAAAAACAAGAUGGAAGUAAAGGAUACUCUUUAUUACCAAAGAUGAAGCCUUUAAUGCACUACGGAGCUCAUUUGGACAUGCAUAUGCAGCCUCCACGUUCAGCUCCUGGCCAAGGUCCAGCAUGAACUCCUCCUUCACUUCAGCACA